UACGGAGGGAGCUAGCGUUGUUCGGAAUUACUGGGCGUAAAGCGCGCGUAGGCGGCUUUGUAAGUUAGAGGUGAAAGCCCGGGGCUCAACCCCGGAACUGCCUUUAAGACUGCAUCGCUUGAAUCCGGGAGAGGUGAGUGGAAUUCCGAGUGUAGAGGUGAAAUUCGUAGAUAUUCGGAAGAACACCAGUGGCGAAGGCGGCUCACUGGACCGGCAUUGACGCUGGAUGUGCGAAAGCGUGGGGAGCAAACAGG
rnacentral:rRNA from 1 species